rnacentral:rRNA from 1 species
GACGAACGCUGGCGGCGUGCUUAACACAUGCAAGUCGAACGAAGUGGCGAACGGGUGAGUAACGCGUAAUCAACCUGCCCUUCAGGGGGGGACAACAGUUGGAAACGACUGCUAAUACCGCAUAAUGAAGGAGGGGAUUGCGUCUGAGUAGCUCGUUGGAGGGGUAACGGCCCACCAAGGCGAUGAUCAGUAGGCGGGCUGGGAGGAUGAACGGCCACAUGGGGACUGAGACACGGCCCAGACUCCUCAGGGAAGCAGCAGUGGGGAAUCUUCCGCAAUGGAGGAAAGUCUGACGGAGGAACGCCGCGUGAGUGAUGACGGCCUUCGGGUUGUAAAGGUCUGUUAAUCGGGACGCGGUACCGGAAUAGAAAGCCACGGCUAACUACGUGCCAGCAGCCGCGGUAAUAC